UGAGGAACAUGACCUUCGGCGGGGGAGUAGCCGGCCUAACGGCCGGGUAAUACCGCGUACGACCUUUCGGGACAUCCCCGGAUGGUGAAAGCAGCAAUGCGCCGAUGGAGUGCCUCGCGGCCUAUCAGCUAGUUGGUGAGGUAACGGCUCACCAAGGCAACGACGGGUAGCUGGU
rnacentral:rRNA from 1 species